rnacentral:tRNA from 1 species
GAACAAAACAUAGCUCAGUCGGUAGAGCAUGAGACUCUUAAUCUCAGGGUUUGAGCCCUAUGUUGGACA